CCGAGUGAGGGCCCUUUGGGUCCAACCUCCCACCCGUGUUUAUUUACCUCGUUGCUUCGGCGGGCCCGCCUUAACUGGCCGCCGCGGGGGGCUUAAACCCCCCCCCCGGGCCCGCGCCCGCCGAAGACACCCUCGAACUCUGUCUGAAGAUUGUAGUCUGAGUGAAAAUAUAAAUUAUUUA
rnacentral:misc_RNA from 1 species